AGGAAGGCAAAUUAAAAACGCGGUGAUUAGAUAGAUUUCCGUUUUUUUGAACAGGUAAGUAUGGAUCUAAUCUAAGAGUAAGUUUGGUUAAGAUUAUUAAAAAACACAUUUUUUUAUAUUUUGACUAAGUUCUGUUUGUGUAUAAAUUUUGUAAAAAUAUAUUUUGUCAAAAAAUUUACUUAUAUGUUGAAAAUAAUUUUUUUUCGUUAAUUAGCUUUUGAAGAAAAACAUUUUUAAUAGAAGAGAAGGUAAUACAAAAUCUCUUUCAUAAUUUUAACCAUACACAAUAGUUUAUGUUAUUCUUUUAUUUUUCACAAGUAGAUUAUAGAUUAUGAUAUUCUUUAAAAUAUCUAAAUUAUUUAAUAUUAAAAUCAGUUUUCUUUUUGAUCUACAUUCUUGCCUUUAUUUUCCUUGAUUAUAUUAAAUAAAGUUUCUAAGAAAGUUUCAUGUUAUUGUAAUAUUCGAAACAUAGUUAUUCAUGAAUUAAUUUAGCGUUUAAAAUGUUAUAUAUAAUGUAUAUCACAUUAAGUAGCAAGUUGUUGACUUUCUCAUUAUGCUGUUAGUAUUUGGGGAGCUUCAUAAAGAAUGAAAUUAAUCACCUUUGGCUUUAAAAGAAAUUUUUUGUUGGAGGUUAAUUGUGUAGACUACUCCAUAAACAAUUAUAGAAAACUUUAAUCGUCGUGAAUACCAAAUUUAUUGAAGAUAUAUAUAAAAAAAUGCCAAUUUAUCACGAUUCAUAUUAAAAAAAUUAAAUAAUAAAAAUUUAUAUAUUAUUAUUUGCUAAAUUUUUUGUAGCCAUAUAUCUCAAAACAUCACGUGUUUGAUUAUCAACCCGUAUGUUCAUUUCAAUUGUCCAAUUCUUUGCUCUUUCUCUCACAGAAAAUAUUUGAGUUUCAAGUGGAGUAACAAACACCUUUUUCUCAAGAUUUUAUUUCUUAGAAGGAAUGUUUUAAGAGGUGGUUGUUACUCGACUUGAAGCUCGAAGAUUUUCUGAGAGUGGAAGAGCAUAGAAUUGGACUAUUGAAUUGAGUAAAUUGAUUGAUAAUGGAACACGAGAUGUUUUAAGAUAUGGCUACAAAUUUUUUAGGAAAUAAUAAAAUGAUUUUUUAUUAAUUAGUUUUUACUAUUACUAUGAAUUAUGAUAAAUUAGUAAUUUUUUUAUACAUCUUUAUAAAUUUGGUAUUUCAUGACAACUAAAAUUUUGUAUAAUUGUUUAGGCAGUAUUCUAUACAAUUACCCUCGAACAAAAACUUUCGUUCAAAGAUAGAAGUGAUUAAUUUCGUUCUUUAUGAAGCUCCUUCAAAUACUAACAAUAAGAAGAGAAAGUUGGUUGAACUUUCUACUGAAUUUGAUAUAUAUCAUGUUUAACAUUUCAAACAAUGAAUUAAUUAAAGCUUAAAUAUGAUUUUGGUCCUUGUAAAUAUGACUCAUUUUGAUUUUUGUCCCUUUAAAAAAACAUUUGAUUUAUACCCCUGUAAAAAAACUUGUUCUACCAAAAUAAUGUUGUACUGAAAUCCCUCAAAUUACAGAGAAGAAGAUCUAGAAAAUAGAAUGAUUUCCGAAAGAAAUUAAGAAGCAUGAGACAGAGGUUAGUUGAACUUUAUAGGAUAAAUGUAUGAAACUAGAUGAAGGGGAAAAGGAGGAUGUUGGAACUUUUGAGGACAUAUAUACAGAUGAGCUUGAGUAAAAUGACAAUUGGUUCUGUUUAUCGCUUUAAUAUAUUCAGCGUCUGUCUUGCUGCAUCACAUGCUAUAACAUUUUGUGUAACAUUGUGUUCACUGCGUACCAGAUUUCAAAGGUAUUAAGAUCAUUAAAUCCAAAAUUUGAUUUCAUAGUAGUAGCCUUACAAGAAGCAAAAUAUGUGAAAACUAUGAAGAUCAAAGAAUUGCAAAGUUCAUUAAAGAAUACAUUAACUUAUGGUGGUU
rnacentral:lncRNA from 1 species